rnacentral:rRNA from 1 species
UCAGACGAUGCGUCAUGCAUAUCAAUAAGCGGAGGAAAAGAAACUAACAAGGAUUCCCCUAGUAACGGCGAGUGAAGCGGGAAGAGCUCAAAUUUGAAAUCUUAAAGGGUUUCCCUUUACGAAUUGUAGUUUAAAGAAGGGUUUUCUGUUGAGGUUUUGGUAAAAGUUCUUAGGAAUAGGACAUCAUAGAGGGUGAGAAUCCCGUAUUUGACCUUUACUUUCAACUUUGUGAUGCACUUUCAAAGAGUCGGAUUGUUUGGGAAUGCAGUCCAAAAUGGGUGGUAAAUUCCAUCUAAAGCUAAAUAUUGGCGAGAGACCGAUAGCGAACAAGUACCGUGAGGGAAAGAUGAAAAGAACUUUGAAAAGAGAGUUAAACAGUACGUGAAAUUGUCAAAAGGGAAGCGUUUGACACCAGUGUUGUUUUUCUGAAAAUCAAUUAAAGAACUGUUUAUGCUAAGCUGUUUAGACUUUAUCAGCUAUCUGUUUAGUUUUGAGCUUUUCUUUAAUGCACUUUUCAGUUAACAAGUCAACAUCAAUUUCUUUUGCUGUAAAAAAGCUUGAGGAAGGUGGCUUGAGAUUCGUCUUAAGUGUUUAUAGCCUCUUGCCUAUGCAGUCGGAGAGAUUGAGGUCUGCAGCGUAGAUCCUUCGGGGCUAAAUGCAUUUGUGCUAAGUUAUAGCAUUUUAUAGACAACUUGUUGACUAUGAUUUGUCUUGUAGCUUACUCGCUUAUGUUAUUUUACCUACGCUUAGGAUGUUGAAGAUGUAGCACAUCAU